AUUCCAAUAUAUAUAUUCUUUAAAAUCUUGGUGAUUAAUUAAUCACCCCGGUAAAUAGCAGAUUUUUAGUCUAGUAGAGGAACACAAAGGUGAUUUGGCCAGUUUAUUGUUUGACUAUUCUCUAAGAGCUGCAGUUCUACUAAGGAGAACAGGGAGUGUGUGUCAAAUAAGAGACACUGUAAGUUAAAAAAAGUUCCUUCCCUGAGCUAUCAGUAGUCAUUUAUUCCUUUAUCGGUCGAGCAAAGCUUAACAUGGUCUAAAAGAAAGAAAUCAAAGACAACAACUGCACAUGAGUACAUAGAUGGUGGUGACAAACUGUGAGUAAAACCAUAGCUCAGGUGGCAAAAUUAAAUGUAGAUAAACCAUAGCUCAGGUGGCAAAAUUAAAUGUAGAUUUUCUGGCAUGUAUUUGGAGAUCAGGAUAAAUUCUUCAGGGUACAAAAAAUAAUUUUAUUUUAUGCUUUAUAGGUACCAUUUAUGAACUCUUAAAGAAAAUGUACCCCCCAGAAAAGAAAACAAACAUGAGAAAUACUAUACCUCAUCAUCAUAAAUAAGCCGUGGGUUUGGUUUGUCCUUUUCUUCAAAAAAGACUGUCCCUUCUAAACCAUACUUUGGAAU